AGAGUAAAUUGAAUGGUCGCUGGUAACUUCCGAAAGGAACUACGAGAGGAAAGUCCGGGCUCCAUAGAGCAAUGAUGCUAGAUAACGUCUAGUGUGGGUAACCAUAAGGAAAGUGCAACAGAAAAUAACCGCCCGUAUGGGUAAGGAUGAAAAGGCGAGGUAAGAGCUCACCGGUUCUAUGGUGACAUAGAAUGCUGUGUAAACCCCAUCUGGAGCAACACCUAACAAAGAAGAUUAAGUCUGCUCGACGCCUUCUUGAACUGCGUGGCUUGAGGCAUAUAGCAAUAUAUGUCCUAGAUAAAUGACUAUUUUAAAAGACAGAACCCGGCUUACAGAUUUGCUCUUUUU
rfam:Clostridium sp. CAG:470 genomic scaffold, scf18